UGUCUUGUUUUGUUUGUGAUGUAAUGUAUGCGCACAGUGGACCAAAUACUUUUUUGAUUUUUAGACAAAGUUGCACUUUGUGGUUGAUGCUUCUAACCGGAUGACAAACGCAGCAGUAAAUAUAAAUGACGCAGUAACAAACAAACCGGUCUUUCUGCUCUUAUUAGAAUUGCUUAGCUUCUUGCAACUACACAAAGUCAUAAGGGUCGAGUUUUUUUUUUUUUAAUUAUUAUUAUGUUUGUUUUGGCAACGAGAUAAGCAAAGACCAAGUGCAAAUAAAGCUGAUGAUGAGGCCACUCGUCGGAUAUAGACAUUAUGAUAAGGAACAUAUACGCACACACAAAAAUAUUUACCGCAUUAUAACUGCAAUUGCUAGCACAAAGCUCCGUUUGUUUGCAAGCAGACGCCUAGAAAGAUCCAGACGCCGCCUCAACGAAGCACAGUUGCAUUGCCUGACAAGUGCAAGCAGUUCGAUGAAUAAAUUACGGUACUUGUUCAAAAGUUAACGAGAAUCAAGAACUAAAAGCGAAUGACAUUUAAACGACUCUACAUAAAAACACAUAUACAAAAAAAUUUCUCAUGUGCAUACAUACAUAUGCUUUGUGCCUUUGGGUGAGAGCCACAUACAUAUGUAUGUAUGUGAGGCGUACAAGAUGGCUGCUACGAAAAGAGAAAGAAAACAUAAUAAAAUACGCAAAAAAUAAAGUAAAAAAUCACAUUUCAAAAAUACCAACAUCUCAGAUUAUAUUUUUUGAAAUCAAUUAUUUACUUUACCAGCCGUUUUCUUCACUUAUCUCAUGUCUUUGUUUGGUUAUGUGGACUCUCGCACGCACCCACACACAGAUACAUGCGCAUAUUAGUACACCUCUGGGUACUUUUGCCUGCGUGUAUGUGUGUUUGCAUACAGCUCGUAUGUGCUAAAAUAUUACUGUUAUACCACCACCAUCACCAUACCGAAUUUAAUUUAUUUUAUUUUAUUUUUUAGCUAUGUACACUAAACUACAGCACUACAUAGGAAA